rnacentral:rRNA from 1 species
UAAGGAAUAUUGGUCAAUGGACGCAAGUCUGAACCAGCCAUGCCGCGUGGAGGAUGAAGGUCCUCUGGAUUGUAAACUUCUUUUAUCUGGGACGAAACACUUCUUUUCUAAGAGGCCUGACGGUACCAGAUGAAUAAGCACCGGCUAACUCCGUGCCAGCAGCCGCGGUAAUACGGAGGGUGCAAGCGUUAUCCGGAUUCACUGGGUUUAAAGGGUGCGUAGGUGGGUAUGUAAGUCAGUGGUGAAAUCCCCGAGCUUAACUUGGGAACUGCCAUUGAUACUAUAUAUCUUGAAUACCGUAGAGGUAAGCGGAAUAUGUCAUGUAGCGGUGAAAUGCUUAGAUAUGACAUGGAACACCAAUUGCGAAGGCAGCUUACUAUGCGGUGAUUGACACUGAGGCACGAAAGCGUGGUAGCAAACA